CAGCCGCCACGGUAAAACGUAGGGGGCAAGCGUUGUCCGGAAUUAUUGGGCGUAAAGCGCGCGCAGGCAGUUUUUUAAGUCUGGUGUCUAAGUGCGGGGCUCAACCCCGUGACGCACUGGAAACUGGGAGACUUGAGUGCAGAAGAGGAGAGCGGAAUUCCACGUGUAGCGGUGAAAUGCGUAGAGAUGUGGAGGAACACCAGUGGCGAAGGCGGCUCUCUGGACUGUAACUGACGCUGAGGCGCGAAAGCGUGGGGAGCAAACAGGAUUAGAUACCCCCGUAGUCCCUGUCUCUUAUACC
rnacentral:rRNA from 1 species